rnacentral:rRNA from 1 species
AGAGUUUGAUUAUGGCUCAGAGCGAACGCUGGCGGCAGGCCUAACACAUGCAAGUCGAGCGGACGUAGCAAUACGUCAGCGGCAGACGGGAGAGUAACACGUGGGAACGACCCUUCAGUUCGGAACAACCAAGGGAAACUGGCUAAUACCGGAUACGUCCGAAAGGAGAAAGAUUUAUCGCUGAAGGAUCGGCCCGCGUCUGAUUAGCUAGUUGGGAGGAAGGCUCACCAAGGCGACGACGGGUAGGGGGCCUGAGAGGGUGACCCCCCACACUGGGACUGAGACACGGCCCAGACUCCUACGGGAGGCAGCAGUAAGGGAUCUUGCGACAAUGGGCGAAAGCUGACGCAGCAACGCCGCGGCGGGAGACGGCCCGGGUUGAAACCGCUUUUCGGGGGGAAGAGGAAGGACGGUAAGUGGGGAAUAAGUCCGGCUAACUACGUGCCAGCAGCCGCGGUAAAACGUAGGAGGCAAACGUUACCGGAGACGGGCGUAAAGAGCGCGCAGGCGGGCGAUAAGUGGGUCGGAAAGCUCCCGGCAAACUGGGAGAGGACGAUUCAGACUGUCGGGCUAGAGGAUGGAGAGGGGCGUGGAAUUCCGGGUGUAGCGGUGAAAUGUGUAGAGACCGGAGAACACCAGUGGUGCAGACGGCGCCCUGGGCACACCUGACGCUGAGACGCGACASACGGGGGAGCGAACGGGAUUAGAAACCCCGUAGUCGUGCGAAACGAGCAGCUAGACGCGCGAGAGGAACGGGUGUCGUAGGCAACCCGAUAAGCUGGCCGCCU